UAAACAUCGUUUCGGGGCAUGCGGAGAAUGCUUUUCAUUUCGUGGCCUAGUCAAAAAGGUUCCAAACUUUAAUUUGCCUAGCAUUUCGCACCUAAUAAUAACAUAACUACUGUAGCUGCAAACGUGAAACGACCCUACAAAAAAAAAAGGACACAGCUAAUUCAAUAUCAUGGAUUGUAAGGACAGUGCCAGCCUGUCUCUUCCCUACCAACCUGAUCCUGAACCUACGGUCACACUGGGUCCUGACUGUAACAGUGGAGCUCAAUGCACAUUGCCUCCUCUUGCACUGCUGCUGGAAGACUGCAUUAACCUGCUGGGGCCAAAUGCAGAGUCUAUGAAACUCGAGGAGGAUUGUGAGGACAGUCCAAGCCUGUCUCUUCCCUACCAACCUGAUCCCAAUUCUUCCCUCAAGAGGGUGACCGUACUGCUGAAGGACUGCAGGAAAUCACUGAGUCCUGGUUGUAACAGUGGAGCUCAGAGGAUACUGCUGCCUCUCAAGAGAGUUCGAGUACAGCUGGAGGACUGCAGGAAGAAGCUGGGGCCAAAUGCACAAUCUAUACAAAUUGAAGUUGUUGAUAGCAGAGGUUCAACUCAUCCAGGUAAUUGAUCAAAUUUAGUAAACCUAUAAGCAUUUACUAAUAAUACUUUCCUCUAAUCGGCACAUAAGACGUGUCUUCCUGUGUUUCUAGACUGACUUGUUGACACUUAUGUUGGUUUGUUUUGUUGGAAAGUCAAUUUUUUUGAUUUAGACUUCCGCAUGAACUUUGAUCUCAGAUUUUAUGUGGCCUAGAGGGUGACAUUUUCCUCACAAAACAGCACUGAACUGUGGAAAACCACAUCACAAUACUCUGCAGUGUGGUAAAGUUAGUAAUCCAUUUUUAAAAUUCAAGCUCUAGUUGCAGUAUUAAAAUACUGCCUUAUGUACUGUCUUGACUCAUGUCAAAAUGCUUUUUAUACAUGGGACAAAUGUCACCAUGGUCCUUUCUAAUUAUUUAAAAUGUUGUUCAAUGCUUAUCUUGUCUGGCUUGUCAUUACUGUGAUCUUGUUUGAAAUGAUUUAACUGAUAACUAGGUUUAGUUAAUGAUAGUGAAUGUGUUUUUGGAUAAACCGACAGACCUAUGUGUUUAAUUUAGAUGUAAAAUAAAAGAUUUCCACGAAAGUGUAAAACUCUUUUCCUCA